GAUGAACGCUAGCGGCAGGCUUAACACAUGCAAGUCGAGGGGUAUUGGUUUUCGGACCAAGAGACCGGCGCACGGGUGCGUAACGCGUAUGCAAUCUACCUUUUGCAGAGGGAUAGCCCCAGAGAAAUUUGGAUUAAUACCUCAUAGUAUAGUACUUUGGCAUCAAGGAACUAUUAAAGUCACAACGGCAAAAGAUGAGCAUGCGUCCCAUUAGCUAGUUGGUAAGGUAACGGCUUACCAUGGCUACGAUGGGUAGGGGUCCUGAGAGGGAGAUCCCCCCACACUGGUACUGAGACACGGACCAGACUCCUACGGGAGGCAGCAGUGAGGAAUAUUGGACAAUGGGCGCAAGCCUGAUCCAGCCAUGCCGCGUGCAGGAUGACGGUCCUAUGGAUUGUAAACUGCUUUUGCACAGGAAGAAACAACGCUACGUGUAGCGUCUUGACGGUACUGUGAGAAUAAGGAUCGGCUAACUCCGUGCCAGCAG
rnacentral:rRNA from 1 species